GGAAAGAUGAAACAGAUAGGCCAUGAUCCAUAGCAGCCUUAAGCCAGAAGACAGCUUAAAGAGACACACGCUGGAGUCACAGACUCUACAAGGCAAAAAUAGCACAAUGCAGAGAAAAUCACUGCUCCUUUAUCUCACAAGGUAAUGCUCCAGUUCCUUGCCCUGUCUUGUACAGACUUCACUUUUGGAUCCAGAGAAAAACUCAAUCUUACUUCAGUUGACUAGGGCCUUUUGCCACAAAUGAAACAUAGAAGAAAGUCAGCGUGUCCUGAGGAUUAAUUCGAGGUCGGAAGAUCGGAAGAACUUGGUGGUGACAGACUAGCUUAUUAAAAAGCCCGCUCAAUGGACUGACUGCCGCUGACGGCCUAACCUGGCAGGAGCGCAGGAGACCAGCGCACAAUCAGUGGACUGUACUUCUCUGGGGACAGCAGGGCACCCAGGAGCCUUUUCUAAUUUGUCAAAGUUGUAUCUAAUUCCACAGAACAAAGUUCAUGACGAGAUGAGCAGAAGCCACAAAUCAUUUCUCAUUCACCAGCCCUUGAUGGAAUGAUAGGAACAGCCUACAGCUAGGGUUCUGUGAAGUAACUCGACGCCUGCCAGUCGGCUUUGGGUAAUUCUGCCUUUCGGGUAUAACAGCUUCCUUGUUUUUUAUUUAAUAGGAUUAAUCUUCAGAAUAUUAAAAAAGAUACCAUCAGCAUCUUU